UGGGGAAUAUUGGGCAAUGGGCGCAAGCCUGACCCAGCAACGCCGCGUGAAGGAAGAAGGCUUUCGGGUUGUAAACUUCUUUUGGCAGGGACGAAGGACGUGACGGUACCUGCAGAAUAAGCUCCGGCUAACUACGUGCCAGCAGCCGCGGUAAUACGUAGGGAGCAAGCGUUAUCCGGAUUUACUGGGUGUAAAGGGCGCGUAGGCGGGGAUGCAAGUCAGAUGUGAAAUCCCGAGGCUCAACCUCGGAACUGCAUUUGAAACUGUAUUUCUUGAGUGAUGGAGAGGCAGGCGGAAUUCCUAGUGUAGCGGUGAAAUGCGUAGAUAUUAGGAGGAACACCAGUGGCGAAGGCGGCCUGCUGGACAUUAACUGACGCUGAGGCGCGAAAGCGUGGGGAGCAAACAGG
rnacentral:rRNA from 1 species